AUUGAAGGCUGAAAUUCGCCUUCAUGAAGCUGGAAUUGCUAGUAAUGGCAGGUCAGCAUACUGCCGUGAAUACGUUCCCGGGCCUUGUACACACCGCCCGUCACACCAUGAGAGUUGGAAAUACCCGAAGCCUGUGAGUUAACUUUUAGAGGCAGCAGUCGAAGGUAGAGCCAAUGAUUGGGGUGAAGUCGUAACAAGGUACC
rnacentral:rRNA from 1 species